AUAAACCGGAAGGAAGGUGGGGAGUGGACGUCAAGUCAGCAUGGCCUUUAUAUCCUGGGCUACACACACGCUACAAUGGGAAGGGACGAAUAGGUUGCGAAGCCGCGAGGUGGAGCCAAUCCAGCAAAACUUCCCUCAGUUCAGAUUGCAGGCUGCAACUCGCCUGCAUGAAGUUGGAGUUGCUAGUAAACGCAGGUCAGCCAUACUGCGUUGAAUACGUUCCCGGGGCUU
rnacentral:rRNA from 1 species